AUACGGGAGGCAGCAGUGGGGAAUCUUGGUCAAUGGGCGCAAGCCUGAACCAGCGACGCCGCGUGAGUGAUGAAGGCCUUCGGGUUGUAAAGCUCUGUGGGGAGGGACGAAAAACUGGAGUCGAAUAGGCUUCCAGGUUGACGGUACCUCCUUAGCAAGCACCGGCUAACUCUGUGCCAGCAGCCGCGGUAAGACAGAGGGUGCAAACGUUGCUCGGAAUCACUGGGCGUAAAGGGCGUGUAGGCGGAUUUGUAAGUCGGGCGUGAAAUCCCUGGGCUCAACCCAGGAACUGCACUCGAAACUGCGAGUCUUGAGUACCGGAGAGGAAGGUGGAAUUCCUGGUGUAGAGGUGAAAUUCGUAGAUAUCAGGAGGAACACCAGUGGCGAAGGCGGCCUUCUGGACGGUAACUGACGCUGAGACGCGAAAGCGUGGGGAGCAAACAGGAUUAGAUACCCGUGUAGUCCA
rnacentral:rRNA from 1 species